CGAGUGGAAAAAAUGGAAUACAGAGUCUUGAGAAGGUCACAAUCUGACUGGCAACGAAGGGGAGACAUCUCAAUUAAAGGGUCAUCUGCCCCUUACGGAGGACUGGCCGCUCGCACACUGAUGGCCUUUGGUCCCUACCACGUUCGAGUGACUCUUUACCUGUCUUCGGGUGGCUUCAAUUCGGAGAAGUUUUUCCUAGCGCUGAGCACUCGUUCCCCAGCAGCGUUUUCCUGAGUUCCCGGAAAACCCAGUAAGUAAUCGCCUCGGCGACCUUUCGUCUCUCUCAGGUCUGAUGAGACACUGGAAUCCCGU
rnacentral:lncRNA from 1 species